CCCAGGUUGAUCUGUCACUGCGAGGGCGAGGAAAACGUACUAAGAAAUUCACCGGCGAACCGGUUAUUAUCGGGUCGGAUCAUGUUUGCUGUGCAAAAGACUCGGUAGAAGCAUCAUCGCAAGGACUGGGAAUCAAGUUAGGGUUUGGGCCACGCAGCUCGAGGUUUUUCGCUCUGGUGCAGGCGAUCGCUAUUUUCAUAACGUAUCUGAUAGCUCCCUUACGUUAUUUGGACGUCUGAUCUUCGAAUAUGCUUCCCUUAUCGCUUCUGAAGACCGCUCAAGGUCAUCCCAUGUUGGUGGAGUUGAAGAACGGGGAAACAUAUAAUGGGCACUUGGUGAACUGCGAUACCUGGAUGAAUAUCCACCUUCGUGAGGUUAUUUGUACGUCAAAGGAUGGUGACCGAUUUUGGAGGAUGCCUGAGUGUUACAUUCGUGGGAAUACCAUCAAGUACCUUCGAGUUCCAGAUGAGGUGAUCGACAAGGUUCAAGAAGAGACCACCAAAAGUCGUACAGAGAUGGCCUAUAUUGGGAAGCCCAUGAAGGUGACCGCAAACGCCCGCAAUAGUUGCAAUGUGGCAUUGGCGUCACCAUUUCCUGGAAGAAUGCUGAAAAUCUUGGAAGAAUGUUUUUUAAAAAAGGCGGAUAGUGAAGGAUUUUGUAUCAGCUCUUGCCACUAUCGUCGUCUUGCGCUCUGCUACCUCGAUUCCAGCUGCUACACCUUGUUAUGCAUGUGCAUCCGUGCAUAAGUCAGCUGUGACUUUGAUUUUUUUUUUUUUGUUUGUUUUCCUGCAGAUAGGAAGCCUCCUGGAGUUGGUCGUGGAAGGGGACGAGGAGGCAAGGAAGAUGGCAUUGGGCGAUCUGCCAAAGGGAUCGGUCGCAGCCAAGAUGAUACAAGCGGCAAAGGUGGUGGUCGCGGCAGGGGUGGAGUCGGCGGUAAAACUGGUGGUUCCAGAGGUGCAGGGCGCAGCCAUGGCUGAUACUCUGAAGCUGAAGGCGACCUCCUGUCUAAAUUGUUUCAAGAUUUCUUAAAUCCGAAGACUAUUUGGUGGAUGUUAACUGUCAGCUAUGUGAAUCAUCUACUUGAUGGAAUGCCUUUUCACCAUUGAAUUGAACGUUUUCAUAGUGCAAUAAAAAAAUCUGGUGCGAUGGGUCCAAUAGCU